rnacentral:ncRNA from 1 species
ACAGGAUUCCCCUAGUAAUGGCGAAUGAAGCGGGAACAGCUCUUAUUUAAAAUCUCCGUUGCUUGCAACGGCGAAUUGUAGUUUCGAGAAGCACUUUCUCGGCGGAUCCGAGGUCGUCCAAGUUGCUUGGAACAGCACGUCGUAGAGGGUGAAAACCCCGUCUGCGGCGACCUCGGCCGUUCACGAUGUGCUUUCGACGAGUCGGGUUGUUUGGGAAUGCAGCCCAAAAUGGGUGGUAAACUCCAUCUAAAGCUAAAUAUUGGCACGAGACCGAUAGCGAACAAGUACCGUGAGGGAAAGAUGAAAAGCACUUUGAAAAGAGAGUUAAAAAGUACGUGAAACCGUUAAAAGGGAAACGAAUGGGGUUAGCAAUGCGUCGUGCGAGAUUCAGCCGGUGGGUGGGCCAGGCGGGCGGUUGGCGGAUCUGAAUGGACCGCUGCCGUUCGGGUUGGUUUCCCGACCGUCGCACUUCUCGCAGGCGCGCGCCAACGUCGGUUAGGGCUGGGUCUCAAAGGCGGUGGAAAGGUAGGUUUGGACUCUCGGGCCCGAACUGUUACAGUCCUCCGUUUGUCAUGGCCCGGACCUGACCGAGGAGCUUGCGGUGCAUGCCGUUCGGCUAGGGUCCCGUCUUCCCGGUCGGUCGUCGAAUGCGGUGGACUGCGUGCAGUGCGCCGCGACUGCUGCCGGUCACGAGGGCGGUGAUUUCGUACUAUGCACCCACGACGUUGGUGGUCAUAUGGCCUCAUCCGACCCGUCUUGAAACACGGAC